UACGAAGGGGGCGAGCGUUGUUCGGAUUUACUGGGCGUAAAGGGCGCGCAGGCGGCGCAUUUUGUCAGGCGUGAAAGCCCCGGGCUUAACCUGGGAACUGCGUUUGAUACGGAUGGGCUAGAGUUCGGGAGAGGAGAGUGGAAUUCAUGGUGUAGCAGUGAAAUGCGUAGAGAUCAUGAGGAAGACCAGUGGCGAAGGCGGGUCUCUGGACAGUUCCUGACACUGAGGCACGAAGGCCAGGGGAGCAAACGGG
rnacentral:rRNA from 1 species